CCUACGGGGAGCUGCAGUGAGGAAUAUUGGUCAAUGGCCGCAGGGCUGAACCAGCCAAGUCGCGUGAGGGAUGACGGUCCUAUGGAUUGUAAACCUCUUUUGUCAGGGAGCAAAGGGCGCCACGUGUGGCGCUUUGCGAGUACCUGAAGAAAAAGCAUCGGCUAACUCCGUGCCAGCAGCCGCGGUAAUACGGAGGAUGCGAGCGUUAUCCGGAUUUAUUGGGUUUAAAGGGUGCGCAGGCGGAAUGUCAAGUCAGCGGUAAAAUUUCGGGGCUCAACCCCGUCGUGCCGUUGAAACUGGCGUUCUUGAGUGAGCGAGAAGUAUGCGGAAUGCGUGGUGUAGCGGUGAAAUGCAUAGAUAUCACGCAGAACUCCGAUUGCGAAGGCAGCAUACCGGCGCUCAACUGACGCUCAUGCACGAAAGCGUGGGUAUCGAACAGGAUUAGAUACCCUAGUAGUC
rnacentral:rRNA from 1 species